GACGAACGCUGGCGGCGUGCUUAACACAUGCAAGUCGAACGGUGAAGCGCCUUCCUUUUUGGUGGGUGUGGAUGAGUGGCGAACGGGUGAGUAACACGUGAGUAACCUGCCCCCUUCUUCUGGAUAACCGCAUGAAAGUGUGGCUAAUACGGGAUAUUCUGGGUCUGUCGCAUGAUGGGUCUGGGAAAGAUAUUGUUUCGGUGGGGGAUGGGCUCGCGGCCUAUCAGCUUGUUGGUGGGGUGAUGGCCUACCAAGGCGGUGACGGGUAGCCGGCCUGAGAGGGUGGACGGUCACACUGGGACUGAGACACGGCCCAGACUCCUACGGGAGGCAGCAGUGGGGAAUAUUGCACAAUGGGCGCAAGCCUGAUGCAGCGACGCCGCGUGAGGGAUGGAGGCCGUCGGGUUGUGAACCUCUUUCGCCAGUGAAGCAGGCCUGCCUCGUUUGUGGGUGGGUGGACGGUAGCUGGAUAAGAAGCGCCGGCUAACUACGU
rnacentral:rRNA from 1 species